rnacentral:tRNA from 1 species
GCCCGGAUGGUGAAAUCGGUAGACACAAGGGAUUUAAAAUCCCUCGCUCGUAAGGGCGUGCCGGUUCAAGUCCGGCUCCGGGCACCA